GACGAACGCUGGCGGCGUGCUUAACACAUGCAAGUCGAACGGUGAAGCUCCAGCUUGCUGGAGUGGAUCAGUGGCGAACGGGUGAGUAACACGUGAGCAACCUGCCCCUGACUCUGGAAUAAGCGCUGGAAACGGCGUCUAAUACUGGAUACGAGAAGGGUCCGCAUGGGCACUUUCUGGAAAGUUUUUCGGUUGGGGAUGGGCUCGCGGCCUAUCAGCUUGUUGGUGAGGUAAUGGCUCACCAAGGCGACGACGGGUAGCCGGCCUGAGAGGGCGACCGGCCACACUGGGACUGAGACACGGCCCAGACUCCUACGGGAGGCAGCAGUGGGGAAUAUUGCACAAUGGGCGAAAGCCUGAUGCAGCGACGCCGCGUGAGGGGUGACGGCCUUCGGGUUGUAAACCUCUUUCAGCAGGGAAGAAGCGAAAGUGACGGUACCUGCAGAAGAAGCACCGGCUAACUACGUG
rnacentral:rRNA from 1 species